GCCUACAACCAUAUCAUCUUGAAUGCACCUGGCCUUGUCUGAUCUUGGAAGCUAAGCAGUGUUGGGCUUGACUAGUACUUGUAUGGG
rnacentral:rRNA from 1 species